rnacentral:misc_RNA from 1 species
AAGUCGUAACAAGGUAUCCGUAGGUGAACCUGCGGAUGGAUCAUUAACACUUAUCCAAGUACCUACUAGUAAAACUUAUUGUGUGAACCCCCGAGUUUCCGCGACCGGAUCAUGGAACCCACAAACGGCAGAGCAACGUUCGCGUUGCUGUUCCACCGGUAGAAACUCGUUGUUUUCCGUCUCGGGAUUCAUUUCUCGAAUCGGAACUCAACGCAGUCUUGAGAGUGACGUUAAAAACUCUUCCGGAGCCUUAAUGGUCCGAAAGGAUUUCAACUUUAACUAUUUCGCGUAAUUAUUAUACAACUGUUAGCAACGGAUAUCUUGGUUCUC